CCUACGGGGGGCUGCAGCGACGAAUCUUCCGCAAUGGGCGCAAGCCUGACGGAGCGAUGCCGCGUGAGGGAGGAAGGCUCUUGGGUUGUAAACCUCUUUUCUCAGGGAAUAAGAAAGUGAAGGUACCUGAGGAAUAAGCAUCGGCUAACUCCGUGCCAGCAGCCGCGGUAAUACGGAGGAUGCAAGCGUUAUCCGGAAUGAUUGGGCGUAAAGCGUCCGCAGGUGGCACUGUAAGUCUGCUGUUAAAGAGCAAGGCUCAACCUUGUAAAGGCAGUGGAAACUACAGAGCUAGAGUACGUUCGGGGCAGAGGGAAUUCCUGGUGUAGCGGUGAAAUGCGUAGAGAUCAGGAAGAACACCGGUGGCGAAGGCGCUCUGCUAGGCCGCAACUGACACUGAGGGACGAAAGCUAGGGGAGCGAAUGGGAUUAGAUACCCCGGUAGUC
rnacentral:rRNA from 1 species